ACUCCUACGGGAGGCAGCAGUGGGGAAUUUUGGACAAUGGGCGAAAGCCUGAUCCAGCAAUGCCGCGUGAGUGAAGAAGGCCUUCGGGUUGUAAAGCUCUUUUGUCAGGGAAGAAACGGUGAGAGCUAAUAUCUUUUGCUAAUGACGGUACCUGAAGAAUAAGCACCGGCUAACUACGUGCCAGCAGCCGCGGUAAUACGUAGGGUGCAAGCGUUAAUCGGAAUUACUGGGCGUAAAGCGUGCGCAGGCGGUUUUGUAAGUCUGAUGUGAAAUCCCCGGGCUCAACCUGGGAAUUGCAUUGGAGACUGCAAGGCUAGAAUCUGGCAGAGGGGGGUAGAAUUCCACGUGUAGCAGUGAAAUGCGUAGAUAUGUGGAGGAACACCGAUGGCGAAGGCAGCCCCCUGGGUCAAGAUUGACGCUCAUGCACGAAAGCGUGGGGAGCAAACAGGAUUAGAAACCCUAGUAGUCCCAUGAU
rnacentral:rRNA from 1 species